GUGGUGGAGGUGAUAGUAAUUUAAAUUGAUCCUACCUACUACAUGUUGAAAAAAUAGGAGCAAAGAGAAAUAAUAGGAAGCUCAAAGCAAAAAAGACUUGGUGAAGAAAACUCUAUUAAGAGGUAUAAGUUAAAAAGUUUACAACUCACCCACACUGAGCUUUGGUGUAUAUUAGUUAAAAAUUUUACAACUUACUCACUCUGAGCUUUGGCGUAUCUAACCACACCAUAGUAUACUUCCACUUACCUCUUUGUUUACUCACGUGCACACAUAAGAUACCACUCACACUUUGCGCUAAGGGCGAACACUCAUUUUUAUAAACUCAAAACUUUAGUGUUUCUCACUCUCACUUGUACUCUUUGGUUGCUUGCUCUUGCACAUAAAAUUUACACACACACACACCUCUAUUUAUUGUAGACGAGUGACGAUAGGGGUGACCACGGUUAAUAAGAACAGCCGAUUACAGUUUUUGAAUUUUUGUUUUAAAUUCAAUAUAAUUAUGAACUUAAAUCAAAUCUUCAUAAAAUAACUUGAGAGACGAUUCUUGAAUCAAUGGUCUUUGAAUUGUCGAUUUUGAUUCAAGUCCCAAUUUAAAAUGAUUUGAAAGGUGGUUUAAAGAAGGAUGGCUCAAAACAGUUUGAG
rnacentral:misc_RNA from 1 species